UACGUAGGGGGCGAGCGUUGUCCGGAUUUAUUGGGCGUAAAGAGCGUGUAGGCGGCUUGGUAGGUCUCGCGUCAAAACCUGAGGCUCAACCUCAGUCCGCGUGGGAAACCACCUAGCUAGAGUCCGGAAGAGGAGAACGGAAUUCCCAGUGUAGCGGUGAAAUGCGCAGAUAUUGGGAAGAACACCAGUGGCGAAGGCGGUUCUCUGGGACGGUACUGACGCUGAGACGCGAAAGCGUGGGGAGCGAACAGG
rnacentral:rRNA from 1 species